CUUAAACAUCACAUUAAAUUGACAAUAUAAAUAAAGUAGUAGAACCUAAGAUUAUUAAUUAAACCAUUUUUCCACCUUAGUACGGGAGACGAAAAAGGUUCUGUAAGCAAUAGAGAAAGUACCGCAAGGGAAUGCUGAAAGAGCAAUGAAACAAGUCAUUUAAGCAUAAAAAAGCAGAGACUAAACUC
rnacentral:rRNA from 1 species